GACGAACGCUGGCGGCGCGCUUAACACAUGCAAGUCGAGCGAGAACCAGGGCUUCGGCCCUGGGGACAGCGGCGAACGGGUGAGUAACACGUGGAUAACCUGCCCUCGACACCGGAAUAGCCCGGGGAAACUCGGAUUAAUGCCGGAUAGCCCCACAGUCCUGCGGGACGGUGGGAAAAGGUAGCUUCGGCCUCUGGUCGAGGAUGGGUCCGCGGCGGAUUAGCUUGUUGGCGGGGUAACGGCCCACCAAGGCGACGAUCCGUAGCUGGUCUGAGAGGACGAUCAGCCACACUGGGACUGAGACACGGCCCAGACUCCUACGGGAGGCAGCAGUGGGGAAUCUUGCGCAAUGGGCGAAAGCCUGACGCAGCGACGCCGCGUGCGGGAAGAAGGCCUUAGGGUUGUAAACCGCUUUCAGGAGGGACGAAGCUACUCGGGUGAACAGCCCAGAGGGUGACGGUACCUCCAGAAGAAGCCCCGGCUAACUACGUGCCAGCAGCCGCGGUAAUACGUAGGGGGCAAGCGUUGUCCGGAUUCAUUGGGCGUAAAGAGCGUGUAGGCGGCCAGGUAGGUCGGUUGUGAAAACUGGAGGCUCAACCUUCAGACGUCGACCGAAACCCCCUGGCUAGAGUCCGGGAGAGGAGAGUGGAAUUCCUGGUGUAGCGGUGGAAUGCGCAGAUAUCAGGAAGAACACCCGUGGCGAAAGCGGCUCUCUGGAACGGUACUGACGCUGAGACGCGAAAGCGUGGGGAGCGAACAGGAUUAGAUACCCUGGUAGUCCACGCCGUAAACGAUGGGCGCUAGGUGUGGGAGGUGUCGACUCCUUCCGUGCCGAAGCUAACGCAUUAAGCGCCCC
rnacentral:rRNA from 1 species